rnacentral:rRNA from 1 species
GAUGAACGCUAGCGGGAGGCUUAACACAUGCAAGUCGAGGGGCAUCACGAGGUAGCAAUACUUUGGUGGCGACCGGCGCACGGGUGAGUAACACGUAUGCAACCUUCCCUGUACAGGGGGAUAACCCGGAGAAAUUCGGACUAAUACCCCAUGAUGAUAUUUAUGGGCAUCCAUUGAUAUUUAAAGCUCUGGCGGUACAGGAUGGGGCAUGCGCGACAUUAGCUAGUUGGUAAGGUAACGGCUUACCAAGGCUACGAUGUUUAGGGGACCUGAGAGGGUUGUCCCCCAACUGGUACUGAGACACGGACCAGACUCCUACGGGAGGCAGCAGUGAGGAAUAUUGGUCAAUGGGCGCAAGCCUGAACCAGCCAUCCCGCGUGAAGGAAGAAUGCGCUACGCGUUGUAAACUUCUUUUCCAGGGGGAAAUAAUCCUGUCGUGACAGGACUUGACGGUACUCUGGGAAUAGCAUCGGCUAACUCCGUGCCAGCAGCCGCGGU